AUUGAACGCUGGCGGCAGGCCUAACACAUGCAAGUCGGACGGUAGCACAGGGGAGCUUGCUCCUCGGGUGACGAGUGGCGGACGGGUGCGUAAUGUCUGGGGAUCUGCCCGAUAGAGGGGGAUAACCACUGGAAACGGUGGCUAAUACCGCAUAAUGUCGCAAGACCAAAGAGGGGGACCUUCGGGCCUCUCACGAUCGGAUGAACCCAGAUGGGAUUAGCUAGUAGGCGGGGUAACGGCCAACCUAGGCGACGAUCCCCAGCUGGUCUGAGAGGAUGACCAGCCACACUGGAACUGAGACACGGUCCAGACUCCUACGGGAGGCAGCAGUGGGGAAUAUUGCACAAUGGGCGCAAGCCUGAUGCAGCCAUGCCGCGUGUAUGAAGAAGGCCUUCGGGUUGUAAAGUACUUUCAGCGGGGAGGAAGGCGAUGUGGUUAAUAACCGCGUCGAUUGACGUUACCCGCAGAAGAAGCACCGGCUAACUCCGUGCCAGCCGCCGCAGUAA
rnacentral:rRNA from 1 species